rnacentral:rRNA from 1 species
AGAAAAUAGAUACCCGGGUAGUCCACGCCGUAAACGAUGAGUGCUAGACGUUGGGAGGCCUAGCCUUCCGGUGUCGCAGCUAAACGCAUUAAGCACUCCGCCUGGGGAGUACGGCCGCAAGGUUAAAACUCAAAGGAAUUGACGGGGCCCGGCACAAGCGGUGGAGCAUGUGGUUUAAUUACGAAGCAACGCGCAGAACCUUACCAGCCCUUCGACAUGGGGAGGUGUGAGCCUGGGAGACCGGGUUCGUUCAGUUCGGUCUGGCUCCCGCACAGGUGCUGCAUGGCUGUCGUCAGCUCGUGUCGUGAGAUGUUGGGUUAAGUCCCGCAACGAGCGCAACCCUCAUCUUCAGUUGCCAGCGGUUUGGCCGGGCACUCUGAAGAAACUGCCGGUGACAAGCCGGAGGAAGGCGGGGAUGACGUCAAGUCCUCAUGGCCCCGUACGGGUCUGGGUCUACACACGGUGCUACAAUGGCGGUGACAGAGGGAAGCGAAGGCGCGAGCUGGAGCGAACCCCGGAAAAGCCG